GCGUCGUGAAGAGCUUCCGUAGUGCUUCUGUUGGGGCCGACUUCUUGACUCGUUGCGGACGCCAUUUAUUGCUCAAGUACAACAUUGACAGUGGUGCUUUCUACAAGGUCGUCGAGCGCUUUUGCCUGGUCACGCAUCUCUGCUACGCGGCGGUUGAGAAGCACAGUGACGGGGCCGCUACGAACGGCGAGGCCACGCAGGCCCUGCCUUGAAAGCGUUCUGCGAUGGGGACGGAGUCCAGGAGCACCGAGGGCCGAUAGCUUCGUGCGCGCUGUGUUGUCGCCACUUAGUUCGCGUUGAAGCGAGAGGCAGCGCGAAGAACCUGACGUUGUUUCAAGACAAAAUUGUGGACUGUUACCGAAGAUACGCCUUGUUGGUUGUCGCAACGCGCCCUGAUCUGCUCGGCGAGGAACUGAGCAAUAACAUCGACAAAAUUACAAGGGAAACUGGGGUAUGCAUGAAGAAGAGAAUGCCGAAGGACAAAGAUGUCAUGCUGGGCGUGAUCCGCUACAUACGACGACUCUUCUUCACAGCAUGAUCCUACUGAAAUGCUGUGUGCUAACGGACUUUUAUAUAUCCAUGUUAUUCCAUUGAGUUGACGGCAGCCACUGAUACAUGGUUACUGCACGUCCCUCCAUACAGGUUAGUUACAACGUGUGGGAACUGAUCACCUGAAGUUUAGUAGUUGCAAUACGUAGCCAUCGGACAUCAACAAUGUUGCUUUCCAAUUUAAAGAUUUAUAGUGCAUCAUACUUUCUUUUGCUUGACGCAUCAGAAAACUUAUCUUCUGAUAUUAAUCAUCUCACCGCACACAUUCUUUCUCGAAAUUUUUGCCCCUUUUAAGUAAAACCGCUCCUCUUCGUUAUGCUUAAGCCGGUAUUUCGGCAGCGCUUACA